UGUCGUCAGCUCGUGUUGUGAAAUGUUGGGUUAAGUCCCGCAACGAGCGCAACCCUUAUCCUUUGUUGCCAGCGGUCCGGCCGGGAACUCAAAGGAGACUGCCAGUGAUAAACUGGAGGAAGGUGGGGAUGACGUCAAGUCAUCAUGGCCCUUACGACCAGGGCUACACACGUGCUACAAUGGCGCAUACAAAGAGAAGCGACCUCGCGAGAGCAAGCGGACCUCAUAAAGUGCGUCGUAGUCCGGAUUGGAGUCUGCAACUCGACUCCAUGAAGUCGGAAUCGCUAGUAAUCGUGGAUCAGAAUGCCACGGUGAAUACGUUCCCGGGCCUUGUACACACCGCCCGUCACACCAUGGGAGUGGGUUGCAAAAGAAGUAGGUAGCUUAACCUUCGGGAGGGCGCUUACCACUUUGUGAUUCAUGACUGGGGUGAAGUCGUAACAAGGUAACCGUAGGGGAACCUGCGGUUGGAUCACCUCCUUAUCUUAAAGAAGC
rnacentral:rRNA from 1 species